UGUGGCAAGAGAGCUGGUUGGUCAAUGGA
rnacentral:piRNA from 1 species